UACCAGCACCCCGAGUGGUCGGGACGAUUAUUGGGCCUAAAGCAUCCGUAGCCGGUUCUACAAGUCUUCCGUUAAAUCCACCUGCUUAACAGAUGGGCCGCGGAGGAUACUACAAGACUAGGAGGCAGGAGAGGCAAGCGGUACUCAGUGGGUAGGGGUAAAAUCCGUUGAUCCAUUGAAGACCACCAGUGGCGAAGGCGGCUUGCCAGAAUGCGCUCGACGGUGAGGGAUGAAAGCUGGGGGAGCAAACCGG
rnacentral:rRNA from 1 species